rnacentral:lncRNA from 1 species
UCUAGAUUUAUUCCUCCCAUCUUUAAUUAUAAUGAUCCUUGAUCUUUUGAAACUCUCAUGUCCCUUAAGUUUUGAAACUCAUGACCUUUGAGUUUUAAAACCUCCAAGUAUUAAUGUUCAUGGACCUAUAAAUAGUAGCAUUGUAAAGAGAAUGGGAGAUAUACAAAUAUACUGUAACUUAUAUGAUAUGAGGAUGCUCUCUUUUCACUAAUCAUUGUUCUUAGUAUUAGUAUUCUUUUAUAAUACGUUAUCAGCACGAAUUGUUUCUCACUUUCGUUUUGAAGAUAAUCAUAUUUGAUUUGAAGAAUAAGCGUUUAGUCAGUUCUGUAUUGGUGCAAUAACAUCUUAUAGUGUUAUUUUUGCACUUUUUAUACUCAUAACAUAUUUGUGUGCUUAAUGUUGUAUGUUAGUGGUACUCUUUUCACAGUGAUUUUUCUGCUAGUAUGUGUCGCUGUAAG